CCUACGGGUGGCAGCAGUGAGGAAUAUUGGUCAAUGGGCGGAAGCCUGAACCAGCCAAGUCUCGUGAGGGAUUAAGGCCCUGCGGGUCGUAAACCUCUUUUGCCGGGGAGCAGAGGUCCGGACGUGUCCGGGCCGGGAGAGUACCCGGAGAAAAAGCAUCGGCUAACUCCGUGCCAGCAGCCGCGGUAAUACGGAGGAUGCGAGCGUUAUCCGGAUUUAUUGGGUUUAAAGGGUGCGUAGGCGGGCAUUUAAGCCGGCGGUCAAAUGUCGGGGCUCAAGCCCGGCCUGACGGCGGAACUGGGUGCCUUGAGUGGGCGAGAAGUAUGCGGAAUGCGUGGGGUAGCGGUGAAAUGCAUAGAUAUCACGCAGAACCCCGAUUGCGAAGGCAGCAUACCGGCGCCCUACUGACGCUGAGGCACGAAAGUGCGGGUAUCGAACAGGAUUAGAUACCCGAGUAGUC
rnacentral:rRNA from 1 species